ACUGCCUCCAAAAUUCUAAACUACCUACCUAAUUAACAGAAUCAAUCAAGAAUGACUUAUUUCUUGUUCUUUUAAACGUCUGUGUAAGUUCAUGGUUAACGAUGGAAUGAUAUUUUAGUGGUUAUUUUCGGGAAAUGUAGUAUAGUACAAUGCUAUAAAUUAUUCUUAACAUGCAUAAUUUAUUCGAAUUCAAAACGAAUUGAGAAAAAUUUCAAACACCAUGCUGAGAACCCCAAAAUGCAGUGCCUGAACAAUUGUGCCAAAUAGCCGAUUAUUAAAAAGUCUCGAUGACAUCUGUUAGAAGCCCACUAGCUUGUUCAAGUUACGAUAUUGGAUGUGUUCUGUACCCUUACACCACUUCAGGAGGAGGGCUACCAGUCGUUCAUAAUCUUUCAUGAAAAAAUCAAAGCUAUGCUAGUUAAUUCUUAAAAUAUAAUGAUGAAGUCAAGCUAGAAAUUGAAAUCUUCGACCAAAAUUGGUGUAGGCAUUUCAAAAGGAUACAUUCUUAGAGAGCCACAUUUUGAUCCAAU